rnacentral:rRNA from 1 species
GAUGAACGCUGACAGAAUGCUUAACACAUGCAAGUCGAUGGGGAAGUGGUGCUUGCACCAUGGUAACCAUGGCGGACGGGUGAGUAACGCGUAAGGAACUUGCCUGCGGGACUGGGAUAACAGCAGGAAACUGCUGAUAAUACCGGAUAAGGUCAUUAAGCUGCAUAGCUUAGUGAUGAAAGGAGACGCCUGCGGAGAGCCUUGCGUACUAUUAGCUAGUUGGAGGGGUAACGGCCCACCAAGGCGAAGAUAGGUAGCCGGCCUGAGAGGGUGGACGGCCACGAGGGGACUGAGAUGCGGCCCUUACUACUACGGGAGGCAGCAGUGGGGAAUAUUGGACAAUGGGGGCGACCCUGAUCCAGCAAUUCUGUGUGCACGAAGACGGUUUUCGGAUUGUAAAGUGCUUUCAGCAGAGAAGAAGGAAGUGACGGUACCUGCAGAAGAAGCGACGGCUAAAUACGUG